CCUACGGGAGGCAGCAGUUUCGAAUCAUUCACAAUGGGCGAAAGCCUGAUGGUGCGACGCCGCGUGAGGGAUGAAGGUCUUCGGAUUGUAAACCUCUGUCACCGGGGAAGAAACGCUUCAAGUUAAUAGUUUGAAGCCUGACUUAACCCGGAGAGGAAGCAGUGGCUAACUCUGUGCCAGCAGCCGCGGUAAUACAGAGACUGCAAGCGUUAUUCGGAUUCACUGGGCGUAAAGGGUGCGCAGGCGGCCAAGUGUGUGAGGCGUGAAAGCCCGGAGCUUAACUCCGGAAUCGCACCUCAAACUACUUGGCUAGAGCAUUGGAGAGGGUAGCAGAAUUCACGGUGUAGCAGUGAAAUGCGUAGAUAUCGUGAGGAAUACCAGAGGCGAAGGCGGCUACCUAGACAAUUGCUGACGCUCAGGCACGAAAGCGUGGGGAGCAAAAGGGAUUAGAUACCCCUGUAGUCCACGCCCUAAACGGUGCACACUAGGUCUUGGCGGAUUCGACCCCACCAGGGCCCAAGCUAACGCGUUAAGNGUGCCGCCUGNGACGACGCGCGAGACGAACGUUAAGAGUAGACGCGNGAGAGNGCGAGACGACGACGAGGAGGAGG
rnacentral:rRNA from 1 species